UGGCAGCGCCGGAAGAACCGUGCGGCGGCCGGGCCGGCGGGGAGCCAGGCCGGGACGCGGCCGGUUUGAGCGGUGCCCGGGGGAGGCAGCGACGGCGGCGGCGGCGGGACCGCGCGGCCGCCGCCAUGUUCCGCUGUGGAGAGGAGAUCGUAAGUGGGGAGAACGAGGAGGAAAGUAAUGGUGUCAACUUGAUGGAGUUCUCAGAUGAGAUCCUUUUGCACAUCCUCAGCUAUGUCCCUUGCACAGACCUUGUCCUGAAUGUCAGGAGAACCUGCAGGAAACUCGCAACGCUUUGCCUUGACAAAAGUCUAACCCAUACAGUUACACUUCAGAAAGACUAUAAGGUAAACAAAGACAAAGUGAAGCAACUGAUGAGGGAUAUCGGAAAAGAGAUUUACCAGCUGAACAUGGCUGGUUGCUAUUGGCUGCCCAGCUCCACUAUUGAUCAUGUAACACGGUGCAAGAACCUGGUAAAACUGAACUUGUCUGGGUGCCACGUCACCUCUCUCCGUCUCUCAAAGAUGCUGUCCACGCUCCAGCACCUGCGCUCCCUGGCGAUAGAUGUAAAUCCGGGUUUCGAUGCCAGUCAGCUAAGCAGUGAGUGUAAAGCCACUCUUAGCCGUGUCUUGGAAUUGAAGCAAACUCUUUACACGCCAUCAUAUGGUGUCGUUCCGUGCUGCACUAGCCUUGAGAAACUGCUGCUUUAUUUUGAGAUCCUUGAUCGCUCACGAGAAGGUUUUAUGCUCUCUGGGCAGCUAAUGGUAGGUGAGAGCAAUGUGCCCCAUUACCAGAACCUCCGCGUCUUCUAUGCCAGGCUGGCUCCUGGCUACGUUAAUCAGGAGGUGGUGAGGCUGUACUUGGCGGUGCUAAGUGAUCGGACACCUGAGAACCUUCACGCCUUCCUUAUUUCUGCCCCCGGUAGCUUUGCGGAGACGGGAGCCACUAAAAACCUCCUGGACUCUAUGGCUCGAAAUGUACGUCUGGAUGCUUUACAAUUGCCCAAAGCCUGGAUUAAUGGCUCUGGGCUCCUGCAACACUUGAAGUUCAACAACCCUUUCUACUUCAGCUUUAGCCGAUGCACCUUAUCUGGUGGUCACCUGAUCCAGAGGGUUAUUAAUGGUGGGAAGGAUCUUAAAAGCUUGACCAGUUUGAAUCUCAGUGGCUGCGUUCACUGUCUGGCUCCGGAGUCCUUGUUUCGAAAAGCGGAAGAUGACAUUGACAGUAGCAUUCUGGAAAGCCUGGUAGUGUCUUGCUGCAACCUGAGACACCUGAACCUCUCUGCAGCUCACCAUCACAGCUCAGAAAGCAUAGGGAAUCACUUGUGCCAGCUUCUGUCCAGGCUAAAGCACCUGCUCUCAUUAGCGUUACCGGUUUGCUCCAUCACAGAUGUUGCUGCAAAUGUGGAAAAGCCUCCCACGGCAUCUAAUUUGGUGCCCCAAACGUUUGGAAGGAAAGUUCGGAUUGGGAUACAGACAUAUCCAAGGAACUUAGCAGACCAGGCAAAUCAGAAGAUAGAGUCUUCAGUAUUCUGGGCUCUGAUGGGAAGCCUCCGAUUUUUGGAAACCUUGGAAAUAAUUGGGUCCAGUUUUUCCUCUGCCAUGCCCCGCAACGAGCCAGCAAUUCGGAACUCGUUGCCUCCUUGUGUCCGGGCACAAAGCGUGGGGGAUUCAGAGGUGGCUGCCAUUAGCCAAUUGACUUACUUGCAGAGCCUCACCUUAGCACAACUGCCAAAUAUUCUUACUGGCUCUGGGCUUAUUAACAUUGGAUUGCAGUGCCAGCAUUUGCGGACUCUUUCGUUGGCCAACCUGGGCAUGAUGGGGAAGAUGGUCUAUAUGUCUGCUCUCAUGGACAUGCUGAAACACUGCAAGUGUUUGAGAGAUCUCAGGCUGGAACAGCCAUACUUCUGUGCCGGCGCCCAGUUCUUCCAGGCACUGAGUCAUUGCUCCUCUCUCCAGCGGCUUUGCAUCGUCUCCCGGAGUGGGACUCUGCAGUCUGACGCAGUGAUGUCAUUCAUGGCCAACUGCCUUGAGGUCAUCAUGUGCCACAUGUUUAUGGGAGAAUCUCUUACCGUUUGCAAAAAUCUCCAGCAAUCUAUUGUCCGGAGGUAUUGCCUCCUUUCCCCGGGCUUUUCCUCAGCCCAGCAACGACUUGUCUGAAUAAUUCAACUAAAAAUUCAGGAUCGCAAAUAAAUAUGGGAUAAUUGCUAACAGCUCGCAGACAAUCCGCUGCCAGAGGAAGGCUAAACUCCUGGUCGGCGCGUGCCCCUGGGGAGGCGAAGAGCUGGAUGGGGACCGGAGCUGCCGCCGCUCCUUCCACCACCAGUCCCCCGCACCGGCGUCCUGCUGCAGCUGAGGUGGGACUGGGGCUGGUGUGGUGUGUCCGGGUGAGUUUUCUUUGCUUUUUAAGCCCAGUUCAGGGAAUUUAGGUAUUUUUGCUUUGCCUCUUUCUGCUGGUUUUCAGCAAAGCACGUCCGCUCGGGCACCAGUCCCAAAGCGUAGCGAUGCCCUGCUGGGGGCUGACUUUCUGACUUGGUGGAGAAAAAGGCUUUUGAGUCGCUCCCAGCGAUGCUCUCCCCCUCCAUCCCUCCUUCUCUCCCAUCCCAAGAGCCGGUGAGGACUUAUGCCGGCAGGGUUGGUGUCUCCGUGGAAGAAGGGGAGACUCUUCCUUGGGAAAGUUCUUCUCUGAGGACUUUGAAAGGCCCCCGGGGGGGUGGCGAUGGGGGGGGCUUUAUCCAACUCUGGGGCUCCCCUCACCAAACCAUCCCGGGUUCCCGGCCGUGGCGGGGCUGGGGAGCUGUUGUUAUUCCUCUCAUGUAGCAGGAAGGAUUUCUGCGAGUGCCAUAAACCUGUCACGUGGGCAGAGCCUGGGUGAGCUCUAAUUGCUUCUAUUUGCAUAAUGAGGCGAGGCUCAGCAUCCUGCUGAUAUUUGAAAGAAGAAAAUCAAAAUCAGCUCUAGAUAAACAACUCCCCCCCCCCCCCAUCCCUACCCCCACUCCUAAUUUGCACAUUUUCUCCCUUAAUGCAGGUUUUUCAGCUCUUUGGUCUUCUCGGGAGCACCGGGACCCCCCCUGGGACCCCUCCCCAGAGAGCAUGGGUGCUGGGUGCUGGAGUGUGUGUGUGUGUGGGUGCUGCCCCUUUCCUCUGGCUGCAGUGGUUUGGGGGCUUUGCCUGGGGCUGGCGGUGGGGGACAUGGUAUGGAGGUGUCUGAAUGGGAGCUGGAGAGGAUUUGGGUGCUCUUGGGGCUGGGAAUGUGGAGCCCAGGCUGGAGCUGGGAGCCCCCGGGCUCUGUGCGGGAGUGGGGCUUGCUCAUGGCGUGGGGCUGUCCGGUGCCGGAGAGUCUGUGACCAGCCCAGGGCUGGAGGGUUUCCCCGAGUGGGAGCCCAGCAGAUGUCACUGCAUCCCGGUGUCACUGCAUCCCGGUGUCACUGCGUCCCGGCGUCACUGCGUCCCGGCGUCACUGCAUCCCAGUGUCACUGCAUCCCGGCGUCACUGCAUCCCGGCGUCGCUGCAUCCCAGCGUCGCUGCAUCCCGGCGUCACAGCAUCCCAAUGUCACUGCAUCCCGGCGUCACUGCAUCCCAGUGUCACUGCAUCCCGGCGUCACUGCAUCCCGGUGUCACUGCAGCCCCUGCGGGGACCGUCCUACCUAGGGACCAGGCGCCAGCUGGGGUGCAGCCCUGCUCACACACCCCGUGCUGGCCCCAAGUGUCCUGCUGGCUUCUGGGGACCUGCCAGGGAUGGGAUGGGAUGGGACGGGACGAGACAGGACCCUUCCUCACCUGCGAGCCCCCCGGGGUGGCAGGAAAGGCUUCGCUUGCACCCCAGGUGUUGCUGGCUGGGGGGAUGCUCCUGCCCUGGGGCCCUCGGAGGACCUGGAAGAAGGUCCAGAAGGACUUUGAAGAAGGGAUGAUGACCCCUGGCUGGGCUGUGCCACCAGUCCGUGUCCCCAGAUGUGCUGCCCCUCUGUAAGCCCUUUUCCCCACUCACCCACAGCCCAGGGGACCAGGAGCAUCCUGGCUCCUCCUGUCCCCAGGGUCUUUCCCAGCAGCCAAACCUGGGUGUCCCCUUGGCCCUGGGGGGACCUUGGGCAUCGCCAAGACCUGCUUGGUGCCCACGGCUUUUGGGACCUGGAGGGGCUGUUCUCCUGGUCAGGGUGCCGGGGGGAUUUGCACCCUUCGCCCCAGGAAGGACAGUGCCUCGCUCGCUUGAGGCCAGGUAGCAGACACUGCACAGGAACAUGCCGUGUCCCUUCCCUGGGGGACGGGGUGAAUCGGCUCCUUCCUCCUCCUCUUCCUCCCCGGCACACGGGCUGGUAUCCUCUGAACCCUUUGCUGCCCUUCAGGGGAGAAGUGCUGACUCCAGAUGUUUCCCUAAAUGAGAACCUUCUGCAAACAGUGCCGGUUUAUUUUCAUACCGAAAGAAAAUGAAAGGGCUGUUAUGAUGACGAUUAUUAAUGUUUUUGCAGCCCGUGUUUGUAGCGGGGGCUGCUGUGCCGAUGGGAUAGUGGAUGGACAGACAGACAGAUGCGUGGGGAAGCCGUGUCCCCCCUCCAUCCUCUGCUCUCCGGGUGCAUCGUUGGGCUGGUUCGCUCUGGCCAGCUCCAUCUUAUCCCAGCUCUCCGGAUUGGGGAUGGGCAGUGAGCCCCGUGCCUGUGGUCUCCGCUCCCUUUCCCAGCCCUGGUGGUCCAGGGAUGAGCUGGGGGGGGGAGGACCGGGACCCCCGGGAGCGGGGACUUCAUCUCAGUAGCAGCAGGAGCACGAAGAGCCCGUGCUCAGAGAUGUCCAAGGGUAAAAGGACAGGGGUCAGAGAAGAAAUCUCUGCAUACGAGUGUUACCAAGAGUGAGCCCUUGUCUGAACGCCCGCCAGGGCUCGGCCACUCGCUCCAGGUGUGACCGAGGAUCCCCAAAUCACUGCUGUGGCCCAGGACCCUGCCUGGUGUGGAAGGUCAGCACCAGCCCCCUCCUCAUCCAGCUCCUGUUUCUGUCUAAGCCCAGUCUCUGGCUGGGAUGCUUUUGCUGCUCCCACGGUCCCCUCCAACACGAGCCGUUACCUCCCCCUGACACCCAUGUUACUUGGGCUGCUGAUAGCCCACGGCUCAGACAAAAUCAGCCGGAUCUGAUUGAACAUUUGCUCUGCUCCUCCAAAGCCACCAGCAUCCCACCUGCUGAGCCCAGCCCGUGGACCAGCGCCUGCUCUCAUCCUUUUUGCUUUCUCGGCCCGUCGGUCUUCAGUGACCUUCAGCCCGCGGCAGGGCUAGAAGGACAGGGGAGAUCCGGCUGCCAGCGCUCACUGCUCCCUCUGCUCUCCUGCCCGUGCCAAACCCGCGGCCGGGGCUGCUGCCAGCAUCCCCAUCCUGGACCGCGGAGGUCUCCCGUUCCCUUGGCCCUCAUGGUAUGCGAAAGUCCCUCCUCGGGCUGGUGUGCCAAACGGGAAAGGAGCAGCAAUGCUUCCCCCUCAUCCCCUCUCCCCAUCCCCUCCUCAUCCUCUGGCCCCUGGUGAAGCCGAGCGGGGCAGGCUGGAGAAAAGGAGAAGUACCCUCAAAGGUGGAAAGAAAUCCUCCCCGGCAGCUCUUAAUAGGGGGGAAGAGAGGGAACAAGAUGGGAGGAGAGGUUGCAAGCAUGAUCAUAGCCCAUGCUUGCAGCAAGCGAGCGCGCGUGUGUGUGUGUGUGUGUGUGUAUGCACGCCGGCUUUCCAUCAGGCUGAUAAAAGGACUGGGAGCUCUUGAAGCCGAAGCCAAGGUGAGUAACCUGUGGCUGUCCUGGGGGAGAUGGCGGGGGGGGGGAAGGCCUGUUUACUCAAGAGCAGCAGGGAUGCUCUGCCAGGAGCCGGGGCCGUCGGUUCUGCGGUGGUAACAGCUCGCUGAGGAGGGGUUGGGUUUCAGCAUCCCAGCCCAUGCCGUGAGGAGGGACGCCGGCCGGGCAGCUUGGCUGUCAGCCCCCAAAUCGGUGGUCCGGGGGGAUGCGUUGGCUAGAAGUGCAGGAUGGAUGGGGGUCUGCCUUCUCCCCGGGUCCCCGCGGCUGAGCAGGGGGUGCUGGGGCUGGUCCCCGCCGUGGUGGGGCUCCCCGCGGCUUCGGUGGAGCAAACACAGCCCAGACACCAACUGGGAAGCGGUGGCUUCGUGCUGACCUGGGUGAGGGGUCUCUACCCCAGGCGAGGGGUCUUUGGUCCCUCUUGCCCUACCAGCAAGCGGGUUUUUUCCUCCUCCCAUGCAGACAAGAAGCUCCCAUUGCCAUUGCACAGCUCUUUUUGCCCUGCCUAGGGUCUCGCUUGCACCCUGCCUGCAAAUUUCCAAGGGUUUCCUGGGCUCCCUCAUCACCCCCAUGUUACAUUUGGGAUUUGUAUUUAAUUCUUAUUUAUUUCUUCAUAGGUUUGUUCCUGUCAUUGCUGCUGUUCCUGGCCCGGCUUUCCAGCAGGUUUGCUCUGCAGAGAGCUGCAGAGCGCUCGGCACCUCCUGCCUCUUUUUCAUCCCUUUCCUCCUCGACGCUCGCCAAAUGAGCAGCAAGCGCGGCCACCGACCGUGGGUCUUCCCAGCAAUGCCAUCGCCGCCCCGUCAAUCUCAAGGUCAGGGUGAAGCCUGACGUCGGUCCGCAGCUGAGCCAGCACAUCCGUGGGGCGAGAGCGGCCACCGGCAGCCCCGGGGCGAAGGCGGCUUCCAAAUUCCUGCACAGCCAAAUCCUGGCUGGGGCUGCCAGGAAACCCGGCCAGCAACAAUCCCCGAGGGUUUUGGGGGACACCGGAGGCGCGGGGGACAGCGGCAGAGCAGUGAAGCAGCCCUGAGGCCACGGUGAGGGCACACGUUGGAUCUCCAGGUGAAAUGUUGGUGGCCGGGAAAAGGGGGAUUGGGAAAAUCCUGCA